UACGAAGGGGGCUAGCGUUGCUCGGAAUCGACUGGGCGUAAAGGGUGCGUAGGCGGGUCUUAAGUCAGGGGUGAAAUCCUGGAGCUCAACUCCAGAACUGCCUUGAUACUGAGGAUCUUGAGUUCGGGAGAGGUGAGUGGAACUGCGAGUGUAGAGGUGAAAUUCGUAGAUAUUCGAAGAACACCAGUGGCGAAGGCGGCUCACUGGACCGGUAGUUGACGCUGAGGUGCGAAAGCGUGGGGAG
rnacentral:rRNA from 1 species